AGCAAAUCAGUGGAAAUAAAUUAAUCUCUUUAUUUGCAAAAUAAACUUUUCAAAGUUUAUAAACUGUGAACUAGUACAACCAGUUCACCCAAAAAGAACAGGCCUUAUAUUUGUGUCGUUUUAAGUGCAGAAAGUGCAACGUAGAGCAAUAAUCGCAUCAGCUUCUUGAUGUUUUAAAUUUUGAAGUAUUUUGAAAUCUUAGGUUGUAAAAUUUAAAAAAACCUUGCAUUAAACGACCGAUCGAAGUACCUAAUAAUAGCGAUUGAAAGCGAGUUCCAGUUAGGAGGGGAGGAAUAUCUUUCAAUUCUAAGAAAACGGAAAUCUAACCUAAAAAGCGAUUUGAUCUCUCGGCCGACGUGACAAUGCCAUGUCUUCCAGAAAUGCUAUUUUUAAAAGUUAAGAGUGUAUGAUGCAAUGUUUCUCACGAAGUUAAUCAAAAUCAUCCCGUUCCUGGAAUCUUGACAAUCUUUGAAGGUUCAUACGCGGUUCAUACACGUAGACACGUGUUGCAGGAACACGUGCAAAGUUUAUUUUAUUGUUUCCUCGUUGCUUCUACUUGAAUAUCACAAGAUAAUCGAAAUGUUUUCCAUUCGGCAAGCGCUCCGUCUUGGUGCACGUGUGAUGUGCACCCGGCACAUGGCAUGUCAUUCUCGCAUUCCAACUUUAUGUGCACCAUGCGGUAUCGGGGCGCUCCGACAGGAGCGUUUCGUUCACGAUGACAACCGCGGGGAAUUAGGCAAGUUGGAAGGAAAAUUAAAACUGAUGUUCACAUGCAAAAAGUGCGAAACGAGAAAUAGCAAACUGAUAUCGAAGUUGGCAUAUAACAAGGGAGUAGUGAUAGUAAGAUGUGACGGCUGCAAGAACAAUCAUCUUAUUGCCGAUAAUUUAGGAUGGUUUUCGGAAAUAAAUAAAAAGACGAAUAUCGAGAAAAUCAUGGAGUUGAAGGGGGAAACCGUGCGAAAGAUCAUGAAUGACGUAGAUGGCUAUUAUGAGGCUGUUUUGAAGGAAGAAUUCAAGAUGCGUUUGCAGAACGUCGGCGAAAAAUCGGAUGAUGAAUGCUCUAAUGAAAUAAAAAUGAUUGAGGAAUCGAAAGGAAUCUGACAUUCUUCCUAGCUUUAGUUUAUCCCCUAAACAAAAGUACAAUAAGUAUAGACAAAUAAAGCUAUUUUCAUGCUGGUUGAAACACGAAACUCAUCUGUAGAUAUAAAUUUCGCCAACAUAAAAGAAGUACACAUAAACAAUUAUAUAUGCAAGAGUGCUUUACACAUGUAUAAAAUUUUUUAAAUAUAUUUUAAAUA
rnacentral:misc_RNA from 1 species